rnacentral:tRNA from 1 species
GAGGGUAGAGCUCAGUGGUAGAGUGUGUGCCUAGCAAGCACGCCGUCCUGGGUUCAGUCCCCAGCACCUUCA